rnacentral:rRNA from 1 species
CCUACGGGUGGCAGCAGUGGGGAAUAUUGCACAAUGGGGGAUACCCUGAUGCAGCGACGCCGCGUGAGUGAAGACGUAUCUCGGUAUGUAAAGCUCUAUCAGCAGGGAAGAAAAUGACGGUACGUGAUUAAGAAGCCCCGGCUAACUACGUGCAAGCAGCCGCGGUACUACGUAGGCGGCAAGCGUUAUCCGGAUUUACUGGGUGUAAAGGGAGCGUAGGCGGCAGCGUAAGUCUGAAGUGAAAUGCUGCGGCUUAACCCUGGAAUUGCGUUGGAAACUGUGCAGCUAGAGUGCAGGAGAGGUAAGCGGAAUUCCUGGUGUAGCGGUGAAAUGCGUAGAUAUUAGGAGGAACACCAGUGGCGAAGGCGGCUUACUGGACUGUAACUGACGCUCAUGCACGAAAGUGUGGGUAUCGAACAGGAUUAGAUACCCUUGUAGUC